ensembl:lncRNA
CUUCCUCUUCUUCCUCUUCCUCCUCCUGAGCUCCAGCAAAGCCAACGUCUCAUAGGAGGCUAUUGAAGCCGUGGAGGCAGGAAUGAAUGGCUCCUCAUUGGGGAUGCAAGGAGCCUAAAAGCAGGAGGGAGGGGGAGAAGGAGAGGGAGGGAGGGAGGAUACUCUGGUCCAGUGGAGAGGCCCCCCUGACUUCUAAGUCCAGAGCCCCGCGGGCAGCAGAGGGAAAUAUUGAGCCAAAGAGGUUUGAAGAAAGCCCUCAGGGGUCACCUUUUAUUAUUCAAGGCAGACCUUUUGGGGGAAGCAACAAAAAAGCAGCUCAGUUGCGGAAACCGCGGAGCCCGGAUUCGCCACCUUUGGGUCCCUGGGAAGACUCGAGACGGCGGCUCCCGAGUCCAAGCGCGGGCGGAGGAGGAGGAGAGGCGCCGCUCCCUUCCCUUCUCCAAACCCAUAAGCCAAGAAAGACCAGGAUUAAAAUCCCCAUUCAGCCAUGGGAACUCAGUGGGAGAUGUUGGUCAGGUCACAAAUUCUCAGACUCAAGAGGAAAUCAAAUGCAACUUCCCCAAGAAAGGUUCAUCUGA